rnacentral:rRNA from 1 species
CAGCAGCCGCGGUAAUACGGAGGGUGCAAGCGUUAAUCGGAAUUACUGGGCGUAAAGCGUGCGUAGGCGGUUCGUUAAGUCUGUUGUGAAAGCCCCGGGCUCAACCUGGGAAUGGCAAUGGAUACUGGCGAGCUAGAGUGUGUCAGAGGAUGGUGGAAUUCCCGGUGUAGCGGUGAAAUGCGUAGAGAUCGGGAGGAACAUCAGUGGCGAAGGCGGCCAUCUGGGACAACACUGACGCUGAGGCACGAAAGCGUGGGGAGCAAACGGGAUUAGAUACCCGCGUAGUCCCUGUCUCUUAUAC